rnacentral:rRNA from 1 species
GAUGAACGCUGGCGGCGUGCUUAACACAUGCAAGUCGAACGGAAAGGCCACAGCUUGCUGUGGUACUCGAGUGGCGAACGGGUGAGUAACACGUGGGUGAUCUGCCCUGUACUUCGGGAUAAGCUUGGGAAACUGGGUCUAAUACCGGAUAGGAAUCACAUGUGGGUGUGUGGUUGGAAAGCUUUUGCGGUAUGGGAUGAGCUCGCGGCCUAUCAGCUUGUUGGUGGGGUAAUGGCCUACCAAGGCGUCGACGGGUAGCCGGCCUGAGAGGGUGUACGGCCACAUUGGGACUGAGAUACGGCCCAGACUCCUACGGGAGGCAGCAGUGGGGAAUAUUGCACAAUGGGCGCAAGCCUGAUGCAGCGACGCCGCGUGGGGGAUGACGGCCUUCGGGUUGUAAACUCCUUUCGUCAGGGACGAAGCGAAAGUGACGGUACCUGGAUAAGAAGCACCGGCUAACUACGG